CCUAAUUUGAGUUGCAUUAAACUAUCCAAUCCAAUGUUCAUGGAUCAGCGAUCACGAUCUCACGCUCCGGAAAAGGAAACCCUAUUUUCUCUGGCCUCCACUAUGUCUAUAUAAUGUCCACGGCCGAAUACGAAUUCGUCUAUGCCUUUCAUUCUAAUUCUAUCUUAUAGGUUUAUCAUCUGACAUGGAAUGUUGCAGUUGAGCCUGAUGAUUGUCACUAAGAACGGAGAUUCGAAGUUUGCUUAGGUUGAAGCCUGGCCAGUGCUGGGCUCUCUAAGCAUCUCAUGUGAUAAAUCCUUUCUACUUCUAUUAAUGAAGGCUUCUUACUGUAAUCUAUUCCUCUCAUUUUCGGUUAUUAUUACUG